rnacentral:rRNA from 1 species
UGUAUUAAGUUAAUUAAUGUUUAUUAUUAUUGUUAAUUUAUUUUUUAUAGAAAUAAUUUUUGUAUUAGUAUUGUUUAUGGAAUAUAAGUAUUAUAAUUUAUAGUUUAUUAGUACUGUGAAGGAAUUUUUAUUAAUGCUUUUAAGUAGAUAUUAAUAUUGUACCUUUUGUAUCAGGGUUUAUCUAAAGUAAUUAGUUAUUGAUUAAUAUUCCCGAAACUAUAAGAGAUAUUUAAAAAUGAAUUUUAUUGUUGUAAAAAUAUUAAUAAUUAUUAAAUAGGAGUUAUAUGCUAUUCAGUUAUAUAUAUCUGGUUUCUUAAGAAUUUAAUUAAAUUUAUCCCUAAUUAUUAAAUAGUUGCAUAUAUUAUAAAUUUUAUUUUUAGGGGAAAAUGUAAGGGGAUAAGCUUUUGCAUUUUAUUAUAAAGAUUUUAAUAUUUAUAUAUUAAGUAGGAUUGAUAAUUUCUUUCAUGUAUUUUGUUAUAAUUAAAUUUAUAUAUUAAUAAUUAUUUAGUUGUUUUUAAAUUAUAUAUUAAGAAUUUAUAUGUAUUUAUAUUUUAAAGGUUAAAAUGAUGGAAUUAGUAAAAUAUGAUUUAUAUUAAUAGUAACUCGGCAAAUAUAGGGCCCACCUGUUUAACAAAAACAUGUCCUGUUGAUUAUAUUUUAAUAGGUCAGGCCUGCUCGGUGAUAUUUUUAACAGCUGCAGUAUAUUGACUGUGCAAAGGUAGCAUAAUCAUUUGUCUUUUAAUUGUGGACUGGAAUGAACGGUUUAAUGAGGUUCUUGCUUUCUUUUAAUAUAAUUUUUGAAUUUUAUGUUUGUGUAAAAAAACAUAAAUGUUGUUAUAGGACGAGAAGACCCUAUAGAAUUUUAUUAUUUACUUAAUGUAAUGAAUUUAUUUAUUAUUUUUAAUUAAUUAAAUGAUUUUGUUGGGGUGACAGAGAGAUUUUUAACACUCUCUUUUUUUAUUAUUUAUUGAUGUGUAUAUUUAUGAUCCUAUUUAUAGAUUAUAAGAUUAAAUUACCUUAGGGAUAACAGCGUAAUUUUGUUGGAGAGUUCUUAUUGAUAACAUAGUUUGCGACCUCGAUGUUGGAUUAAAAUUAGGAAUUAGUGCAGCAGCUAUUUUUCUAGGUCUGUUCGACCUUUAAAAUUUUACAUGAUCUGAGUUCAGACCGGCGUGAGCCAGGUUGGUUUCUAUCCUUAACUUUAGAUAAGUAUAUUAGUACGAAAGGACCUUAUACUUGAAAUAAUUUUA